GCGAUUUUAAAAGAAUUAAUCAGGUAAAUUUGGUUGAAAAUGAGGUAUCGAGACCUCGGAUUUAUAAACCGAGCCAUAAAUAUUUUUAUAAAUAUUUAUGGAGUGUUAUUAAGUUAGUAUUAAAGUUUCGUUAGAAAAUUUUAACGUUUGGUUAGUCAAUUAAUUAAAAAGGACUAAAUUGAAAAUAGUGCGAAAUUUAUUAAAUUGUGAUUAAAUAGUUUAAGUGAUUAAAAAGGAGGGAUUUAAAAGGCAAUUGGACUCAAAUUGUAUGGGCUGGACGGUUGGGCAAGAAAAUCAGCAAAAAAGACAAGGAGAAACAAGGGUAAAAUGGGAAAUUUUGCAAAUUAAACAAUAAAACAAGACAAAUUUGAAAAAUCUAGAGAUAUUAUAAUUUUUCUUCAGCAAAAAUGCCAUGGGAGGUCUGAAAGCUGCUGGUUUUUCAUACUUUGACAUAUGUGAGUUCAAUUCUUACCUUUUUCUUUGAGAUUUUUAUGUUUUUGUGACUUUUACAAUUAGGUCCAAGUG
rnacentral:lncRNA from 1 species